rnacentral:rRNA from 1 species
AUGCAAGUCGAGCGAAUGGAUUAAGAGCUUGCUCUUAUGAAGUUAGCGGCGGACGGGUGAGUAACACGUGGGUAACCUGCCCAUAAGACUGGGAUAACUCCGGGAAACCGGGGCUAAUACCGGAUAANAUUUUGAACUGCAUGGUUCGAAAUUGAAAGGCGGCUUCGGCUGUCACUUAUGGAUGGACCCGCGUCGCAUUAGCUAGUUGGUGAGGUAACGGCUCACCAAGGCAACGAUGCGUAGCCGACCUGAGAGGGUGAUCGGCCACACUGGGACUGAGACACGGCCCAGACUCCUACGGGAGGCAGCAGUAGGGAAUCUUCCGCAAUGGACGAAAGUCUGACGGAGCAACGCCGCGUGAGUGAUGAAGGCUUUCGGGUCGUAAAACUCUGUUGUUAGGGAAGAACAAGUGCUAGUUGAAUAAGCUGGCACCUUGACGGUACCUAACCAGAAAGCCACGGCUAACUACGUGCCAGCAGCCGCGGUAAUACGUAGGUGGCAAGCGUUAUCCGGAAUUAUUGGGCGUAAAGCGCGCGCAGGUGGUUUCUUAAGUCUGAUGUGAAAGCCCACGGCUCAACCGUGGAGGGUCAUUGGAAACUGGGA